UCUGUUGGGACACUGUGGUUGGGGUUUGUGGUGCUCCUGCUGCCAAACACCUGCAUUUAUUCAGACACAAGUGCAAAAGAAUCAUAGUUUGUGAUUUGUGUUUGUUGUCAGACACCAACCCCAACAAGGCAUACAGUGAAAACUGCCUGGAAACUCUGCUCCGACACUGAGUUUUGGUUUCUUCACACCCUGUACACCACGGGCUGAAGUUAUUGGCUGGGGAACUAGCAGGAGACGUUUCAGAGUGCAGAGCAGCCAGGUGUAACCACCAGCUCACUUAUGAUGCCAGAUCCGCAUACAGGAACUCAGCAGUGCCUUCUCAAGGUCCUACACCAAAACAUUGUCUUAGUUGUGGCAAUGGAGCUCCUCAGGCAGUUCUGAGGAUUGCCUGAGCUUGUCUGACAAUCCUGAGCUUGUUUUUCCUGCAGAGCUGCUGGGACUGCAGUUGUGCUGCAGCUCACCCUGACACCACACGUGGGACACACAGAGCCAGGGGGAUGCAGCUGAGGCAAGAACAGCUCUUUGAACAGCCCUGCUGCCCCUGGGCAGGGGCUGUGGCACGGUGGCACACGGGUGUGUGGUACCUGCCAGGUGUGCCACAGCCGCAGGGGGACUCGCAGCAAGAAGCCACAGCACAUAAACAGAUACAACUGAGAGCUGGCAAGAGCUACUCCACUCAAUGGCCCUGUUCCUACAGCCUGUGAAACCAGAAAGGAACUCCAACAAGGAAUGCAGCUGUGUUAGAUUAGCCCUGAAAGGAUUCUCUUACAAAGGCACUGGCAGAGCCAUUCCAUCGCUGCCAUGAACCAAAUCUGUAUGAGCAAGCCCAGAGCUCUUAAUCUGGAUUUAUGACUCUGCUACCAACUCCAUAAACCAUCUACAACAUCUUGAGUGGCAGGACUAAAGUCAGCUGUGUGGGAAAGAAUGUGAGUGUGUCAACUUCAAUGAAAGCACGUCCACCUUGCACUGAUCCUGUAUCUGACUCCAGAGAACUAACUGGAGCUUGACUCGGGACACACACAGCAGAUGGUACAGUUCCAGCUGCAUUUUGGAAAACUGGAUGAUUCAGCUAUUUCUCUUCUGAUUUUUUUCAUCUCUUCAGAGUUUUCUUGGUUCUCCUCAGGAGCUGAGUCUCAACAUCCUUCAGAACCUGCAGGCUGAUCCCACCUUCACUUUACACCAGCAUUUUAUUUAGCUGGCACAGUUCACUGCCCAGGAACUCCCAGAGCAGGUAACUCCCUUAAGAAUCCUGUCUCCUGCCUGAAAGAUCAGGGUGCCCGACAGCUUUUAUUCUCUCUGUGUUAUCAAACACAGCCCUGCUCCUUUCCAGAGGGCUCUGGGCUCCGUGGAUGUGCCAGCACUGGUUAUCACGAUUGGAAUUGCUCUCUGUGCGCGUUGCACUGCACCAGGAUUUUGCUUAACCUUUGUAUAACAUAGUCAGUGUUUCUUUCUUUCCCCCACUGUGCCCUAAAAUAACACUUUUUAUGCCCAAUCCCUGUCAUUCUGGGGAAAAGUGUGUAUGGAAAAUUAUUAUGUUGGGAACAUGUAUUUAAACAGCUGCCAAAAGUACACAAUUUUAAAAUAGUAUGAGUAAAGCAGAGCACUGUGGGGUCUGGCCAGAUGAAACCUUCACUCCAAUAAAGCUUAUUUCAUAUACACAAUAAUUUCCCCAAAUAAAUAAUGCCAUAAUGCUAA